UACAGAGGUCUCAAGCGUUGUUCGGAUUCAUUGGGCGUAAAGGGUGCGUAGGUGGCGCUGUAAGUCGGGUGUGAAAUUUCGGAGCUUAACUCCGAAACUGCAUUCGAUACUGCGGUGCUUGAGGACUGGAGAGGAGACUGGAAUUCGAUGGUGUAGCAGUGAAAUGCGCAGAUAUCAGGAAGAACACCCGUGGCGAAGGCGGCUCUCUGGGACGGUACUGACGCUGAGACGCGAAAGCGUGGGGAGCGAACAGG
rnacentral:rRNA from 1 species